GCCUCAAUCAAAGGUUUGCAAUAGCAGGCUCCAUCCAAGAGUUGCCCACGCACACAUUAUAUAGGUCUACUUAAAUUAGGCAGCUUUCCUUUGCUAUGUUAGCAUUAGUAUGCAAACAAGUCUCUCCUUUAUCAUGGUACAUAUAUAUCACAAGUGUAUCAAAUGGAAGCACUGUUGGAAGCGCAGAAUAGAAUAAAUUCUCUCACUAGAUCCUACCGUG